rnacentral:rRNA from 1 species
GCAGACGGGUGAGUACGCGUGGGAACAUACCCUUUCCUGCGGAAUAGCUCCGGGAAACUGGAAUUAAUACCGCAUACGCCCUACGGGGGAAAGAUUUAUCGGGGAAGGAUUGGCCCGCGUUGGAUUAGCUAGUUGGUGGGGUAAAGGCCUACCAAGGCGACGAUCCAUAGCUGGUCUGAGAGGAUGAUCAGCCACAUUGGGACUGAGACACGGCCCAAACUCCUACGGGAGGCAGCAGUGGGGAAUAUUGGACAAUGGGCGCAAGCCUGAUCCAGCCAUGCCGCGUGAGUGAUGAAGGCCUUAGGGUUGUAAAGCUCUUUCACCGGAGAAGAUAAUGACGGUAUCCGGAGAAGAAGCCCCGGCUAACUUCGUGCCAGCAGCCGCGGUAAUACGAAGGGGGCUAGCGUUGUUCGGAAUUACUGGGCGUAAAGCGCACGUAGGCGGAUAUUUAAGUCAGGGGUGAAAUCCCAGAGCUCAACUCUGGAACUGCCUUUGAUACUGGGUAUCUUGAGUAUGGAAGAGGUAAGUGGAAUUCCGAGUGUAGAGGUGAAAUUCGUAGAU